AUGUACCACUCGUACACUCCGGUUCCUGUGCGCCGCCCGCACCCACCUGACGACUGCUCGCAUAAGAACGCUCAAAAACGAACAUCCACCUCAGUUGGCUUCGUCAGCG
rnacentral:sRNA from 1 species